rnacentral:lncRNA from 1 species
UCAUUUUUUUAGAUCUUUGAAUAUCUACACAAAUUGGUUUUUAAACCAACAAUUUUUGUUUUUGCAGAUAAGUGUUUUCAUGUAGAUCUGCCAGUUUAUACACGAAUGGGUAUUAUUAAAUUAACUUAGUUGAACAUCUUUUCAAUUCCAGCACCAGCUUUCUUCCUUGUCUGCAUCUUCUCUUUCUCCCUCGUUUUACAUCCCUCACUUUUGUUUUUGCUCAAGUUUCUAAAAAAAGAUAUAUUAUAUAUUUUUUUGCAGAUUUGUUGAGGAAGAUCUUUAAUUUUUUCCAUAUUAGUUUCUCCGCCUCCAUGGAUGUUCUGGAGUUGGCCUCUUCCAGAAAUACCCAACUUCUUUUUUAUAUGAUUAUGCAUCUUGGUCCUCCUCAUACUUAGCCGAAAAUUACUCAGCUCCUCAUACCUGGCCGAAAAUUCCUCAGUUCAUUUCCCCUGACUGAAGCGAAAAAGAAAAGUGGAAUCAGGUAGCUUCCUAUUCUCUAUCUAUCUCUAUCCCUUCCCAUUUAUACAUACAUGUAAAAAAAUACAAAUGUUUGUAUGUGUUUCCAUCUUAAAUCAAGUUUCUUUUUGUGUCUUUUGCAGAUUCAUUUUGAAUAUACACAAAGUUUCUAUGCCAACUUACUGUAAAUUUUGAAUAUACACUAAAACCAUUUUUUCUUGGCUUUUGCAGAUCUGAGUGGUAAUACUUCCAUGAAACAUUCAGUCAAAAUCUUCUGCGAAAAAUUCUUGAUCUGCUGCAAAAAUUCAGAAAUAUUAGCUCCAUUUUAGACUUUAUGUAUAAAGUAGAAAUAAUUGUAUAAAUUUGUAUGUUAGUUGUAAUUGAAACUAAUAAUAAACAGCAAAAAAACUAAACAAAAUAAAAAGAAAAACACCAUAUAAAAACAAAUAAAAUUAAAAAUAGCAUAAAAAAUGAAAUAGAGAAAACCCAAGAUUAGAGAGAGAGAGUUUGCAA